rnacentral:rRNA from 1 species
GACGGAGGGGGCAAGCGUUGUCCGGACUCACUGGGCGUAAAGCGCACGUAGGCGGUUGGGUGCGUCGCUGCUGAAAGCGCCAGGCUUAACCUGGCGAGGCGUGGCGAUACGACCCGACUUGAGGCAGGCAGAGGGUGGCGGAAUUCCGGGUGUAGUGGUGAAAUGCGUAGAGAUCCGGAGGAACGCCUGUGGCGCAAGCGGCCACCUGGGCCUGACCUGACGCUGAGGUGCGAAAGCGUGGGGAGCGAACCGGAUUAGAUACCCGGGUAGUCCACGCGGUAAACGAUGCCAGCUCGGUGUCUGGGGCCGUUUUGGCCCUGGGUGCCUUAGCUCACGCGGUAAGCUGGCCGCCUGGGGACUACGAGCGCAAGCUUAAA